AACGAACGCUGGCGGCAGGCCUAACACAUGCAAGUCGAACGCUGUAGCAAUACAGAGUGGCAGACGGGUGAGUAACGCGUGGGAACGUGCCUUUCGGUUCGGAAUAACUAAGGGAAACUUGAGCUAAUAACGGAUACGCCCUUCGGGGGAAAGAUUUAUUGCCGAAAGAUCGGCCCGCGUCCGAUUAGCUAGUUGGUGGGGUAAUGGCGCACCAAGGCGACGAUCGGUAGCUGGUCUGAGAGGAUGAUCAGCCACACUGGGACUGAGACACGGCCCAGACUCCUACGGGAGGCAGCAGUGGGGAAUAUUGGACAAUGGGCGCAAGCCUGAUCCAGCCAUGCCGCGUGAGUGAUGAAGGCCCUAGGGUUGUAAAGCUCUUUCGCCAGGGACGAUAAUGACGGUACCUGGAUAAGAAGCCCCGGCUAACUUCGUGCCAGCAGCCGCCGUAA
rnacentral:rRNA from 1 species